rnacentral:rRNA from 1 species
AGUGAACGCUGGCGGUAGGCCUAACACAUGCAAGUCGAACGGCAGCACAGUAAGAGCUUGCUCUUACGGGUGGCGAGUGGCGGACGGGUGAGGAAUACAUCGGAAUCUACUUUUUCGUGGGGGAUAACGUAGGGAAACUUACGCUAAUACCGCAUACGACCUACGGGUGAAAGCAGGGGAUCUUCGGACCUUGCGCGAUUGAAUGAGCCGAUGUCGGAUUAGCUAGUUGGCGGGGUAAAGGCCCACCAAGGCGACGAUCCGUAGCUGGUCUGAGAGGAUGAUCAGACACACUGGAACUGAGACACGGUCCAGACUCCUACGGGAGGCAGUAGUGGGGAAUAUUGGACAAUGGGCGCAAGCCUGAUCCAGCCAUACCGCGUGGGUGAAGAAGGCCUUCGGGUUGUAAAGCCCUUUUGUUGGGAAAGAAAAGCAGCAGGUUAAUACCCCGCUGUUCUGACGGUACCCAAAGAAUAAGCACCGGCUAACUUCGUG